CCUACGGGGGGCUGCAGUGGGGAAUAUUGCACAAUGGGCGCAAGCCUGAUGCAGCCAUGCCGCGUGUGUGAAGAAGGCCUUCGGGUUGUAAAGCACUUUCAGCGGGGAGGAAGGCGGUGAGGUUAAUAACCUCAUCGAUUGACGUUACCCGCAGAAGAAGCACCGGCUAACUCCGUGCCAGCAGCCGCGGUAAUACGGGGGGUGCAAGCGUUAAUCGGAAUUACUGGGCGUAAAGCGCACGCAGGCGGUCUGUCAAGUCGGAUGUGAAAUCCCCGGGCCCAACCUGGGAACUGCAUUCGAAACGGGCAGGCUAGAGUCUUGUAGAGGGGGGUAGAAUUCCAGGUGUAGCGGUGAAAUGCGUAGAGAUCUGGAGGAAUACCGGUGGCGAAGGCGGCCCCCUGGACAAAGACUGACGCUCAGGUGCGAAAGCGUGGGGAGCAAACAGGAUUAGAUACCCUGGUAGUC
rnacentral:rRNA from 1 species